CGUCAAACUCAAUCCGCCCUUUUGAUUCAGUGUGUGUGCUGAUGGAGGAUGCGAAUGCGAAAGAGAAAGUCAAAAGUGUAAAAUACUGUGAAAAUGGUGGACAAACUAGUUAACAGCGAGGCCAACGCACGUCGAAUACAGAUGGUGGAGAGCUGUUUCGGCAGUUCCGGCCAACCACUGUAUGUCCCAGGCCGAGUCCUGGUCGGGGAAGGUGUACUGACAAAGAUGUGCCGCAAACGCCCAAAGGCGCGCCAAUUUUUCCUGUUCAACGACAUUCUUGUCUAUGGAAACAUAGUUAUCGGCAAAAAGAAAUACAACAAGCAACAUCUAAUACCACUGGAAGAAGUGCAACUGCAAGCCCUCGAGGACAAUGGACAAUACAGAAACGGAUGGCUAAUACGAACCGCUACGAAGUCAUUUGCCGUCUAUGCUGCUACACAAACGGAAAAACAAGAAUGGAUGGCACACAUAAACAAAUGCAUUGAAGACUUGUUACGGAAAAGUGGUAAGAAACCUGUGGAAAAUCACGCAGCCGUUUGGGUGCCGGACAGUGAGGCUAACAUAUGCAUGCAUUGCAAGAAAACUCAAUUCACCAUGUUGAUACGUAGGCAUCACUGUCGAAAUUGCGGUGCUGUGGUCUGUGGGCCAUGUUCAUCGAAAAAAUUCCUUCUCCCAGGACAAAGCAACAAACCGUUGCGCGUGUGUUUGGAUUGCUACGACAAUCUGAGCUCUAUGAAGCGAGAAGAGAAUAAGGGAUUGAAUGCCAACAACAACAAGCCAGUUACAUCGCCAGAAAGCUCCGGUGACGAUGACUCGGACGACGAAGAGGAACCGAAGGAUACGCAUGAUCAGAGCUUUAGAAGUCACUAUACCCCGGCAGUCGUCUGCGUAUGAUAGGAGCGGGCAUCGGGUAAACCCGACAGCAAAAUCAAAAAACCCCUUCGUUUCAUUCGCCACGUCUUCGAUAAGCGGUAAAGGAGAAGCAAUGUAACGAAAGCCAGAAUGCCUAGUGAUAUCGGUUAACAAAUUGUUGUUUCGUUAGGAGAUCUUGAAAAAGAUUAUGAAUCUUUAUACUACACCAAAAUUCUACGGCGAUGAAAAACCAGAGAAAUAGCCGUAACGACGCGGAAAAGCAAUCCACCCACAAAACAACAGAUUCGUAUAGAAGUCUCACCAAUUCGAUAGAUAAUUACAACAAAUGAAUAAUGUCUGAUUUAUUCAUCUACAACACCGGAAACACAAUCUAGGUCAAUGUGAAUUGAAUUUUAAAUACAAGAAGUACUCUCAAUCUAUUUUUCUUUAUUGCAUUACCCAUUUAGCAUGUAUCGAAGCUAUCAGCAGUUGUCAAUACCUACGGAGAAACCCAUUUAUUUGUUUAAGAUAACUUUUUCUACCCGUGAAACAAGUUCGACAUAUUCAAUUUUUUGGUAGAUUACCACAAACUUCCUUUUAAAUAUAGACACCAAGCAAUGCUAUGAAACAAGAAUCAACUAUUUGGGGUACAAAGUAUGUCCUGUGAUCUACUUCUCCAAGAAAAUGUAAAUGUAAAUCGUUUUGCCAGCUAGCUACUACAGUUAUCGGGCUAUUAUUAUUAACUGUUAUUCGAUAUUGAUCACAGUACGGACUAAUGGAAAAAGCAGGUGACCAUCCGAAAAAUACGUAGCAUUUUGAAAAGAGCGCAUAUCCAGGUAUAUGGGAAUAUGAAGGCUAUAAUAAGACAGAAGAAUGCUAAAAUUGUUCUCAAAAUGCUACAUCAUUUAUGGAUGCUCCGUAGAAGUUUUCCUUUCCGUUUUCUUGGUAUUAGGAAAGUUGAAACAAUGAAUUGUAUUUAAUGAUGAGUAAAACAUCCAAGCGAGAGAUAGCCAAGUCCACAGAAUAGACUUUUGUAAAAUCGUAAUUUAGUAGACAUCUUGUCUUGUCUCGACGCGCGAUGAGCCUAGAUCUUCAAACAGACUAUUAAUAAUAUUAUUUUUAUUCUUAUGGUAAGUAAAUCAGAUAAAAGAUGUAUAUGAAUAUAUUUAAGAUCAUCAAUAAAAUAUUAAAAUUGCUCACA